rnacentral:rRNA from 1 species
UACGGGGGGGUGCGAGCGUUGUCCGGAAUCACUGGGCGUAAAGGGCGCGUAGGUGGUUUGAUAAGGGUGUGGUGAAAACCCGGGGGCUCAACCCCGGGCCUGCAUUCGAUACGGGCAGACUAGAGUUCGGUAGGGGGAGUCUGGAAUUCCUGGUGUAGCGGUGAAAUGCGCAGAUAUCGAGGAGGAACACCGGUGGCGAAGGCGGGACUCUGGGCCGGUACUGACGCUGAGACGCGGAAAGCGUGGGGAGCGAACAGG